rnacentral:rRNA from 1 species
UUUGUAGCCUUGCUAUGGUAUAACUUAGUGGCAGACGGGUGAGUAAUGUAUAGGAAUCUACCUAGUAGUACGGAAUAAUUGUUGGAAACGGCAACUAAUACCGUAUACGCCCUACGGGGGAAAAAUUUAUUGCUAUUAGAUGAGCCUAUAUUAGAUUAGCUAGUUGGUGGAGUAAUAGCCUACCAAGGCAAUGAUCUAUAGCUGAUCUGAGAGGAUGAUCAGCCACACUGGAACUGAGAUACGGUCCAGACUCCUACGGGAGGCAGCAGUGGGGAAUAUUGGACAAUGGGCGAAAGCCUGAUCCAGCCAUGCCGCAUGAGUGAAGAAGGCCUUUGGGUUGUAAAGCUCUUUUAGUGAGGAAGAUAAUGACGGUACUCACAGAAGAAGUCCUGGCUAACUCCGUGCCAGCAGCCGCGGUAAUACGGAGAGGGCUAGCGUUAUUCGGAAUUAUUGGGCGUAAAGGGCGCGUAGGCGGAUUAGUAAGUUAAAAGUGAAAUCCCAAGGCUCAACCUUGGAAUUGCUUUUAAAACUGCUAAUCUAGAGAUUGAAAGAGGAUAGAGGAAUUCCUAGUGUAGAGGUGAAAUUCGUAAAUAUUAGGAGGAACACCAGUGGCGAAGGCGUCUAUCUGGUUCAAAUCUGACGCUGAGGCGCGAAGGCGUGGGGAGCAAACAGGAUUAGAUACCCUGGUAGUCCACGCUGUAAACGAUGAAUGUUAAAUAUGGGAAGUUUUACUUUCUGUAUUACAGCUAACGCGUUAAACAUUCCGCCUGGGGACUACGGUCGCAAGAUUAAAACUCAAAGGAAUUGACGGGGACCCGCACAAGCGGUGGAGCAUGUGGUUUAAUUCGAUGCAACGCGAAAAACCUUACCACUCCUUGACAUGAA